rnacentral:rRNA from 1 species
CGGGUGAGUAACACGUAGGUGACCUACCCCAAAGAGGGGGAUAACGGCCCGAAAGGGCUGCUAAUACCCCAUGUGAUUAGCGAUUCAUUUCGUUAAUGAAAGCUUCCGCAAGGAGUGUGCUUUGGGAGGGGCCUGCGGCGGAUUAGAUUGUUGGUGGGGUAAUGGCCUACCAAGUCGAUGAUCCGUAGCUAGUCUGAGAGGACGAUUAGCCACACUGGCACUGACACACGGGCCAG